AGCAUGUUAGCACAGUGGAAGAGCGCCGGGCUCAUAUUUAUACGUUUCACGUAGAUCACCCGGAGGGUAAUUUCCACCCAACCUUAACUUCCCAGUAAAGUUACUAACAACUUUGUAGUCCCUGGAUCGAAACCAGGACAUGCUA